GAUAUAUAAAUAUAUAGUUCUAUAUUUCAAUAGUCAUAGUUUUUAUUAUUUGUAACAUUGUUCAAAUGAAUGCUACUGUGCUUGUCCUCUUAAAAAAUAUAUAUGUAUAUAUAUUUUUUUUUCAAUCCGUCAAAUCACUGAUUCAUACACCAGACAUCUACCUUUUUAAUGUAAGUCAUGAAAUGUAUUUCUAAAUUUUCAUAAACCAGGUGGAAUUGGUAAAUAUAAAGAAGAGUAACCAACACCACACAGCAUCUGUGCUGAAAUCUUGGCAUUGUACUGUAGUUCAUCCAGGUGUGUGCACAUUAGUAGUGUACUUUAUAAUAUAUAGUUUUAAGAUGACUUUCCAAAAAAGCAGUUAAGAAUUAUGUAAUCACUUGUUAAUUAACCUGGACUUUUACCAAUAAUUGUUUGAUCAUUGUUAUUGACAUUGACAUUUUGAAUGUACAAUGGUCUAAUUCAUAGCAUUCUUUAGUGAAUAAGGAAUGCAUACAGCAGACAAUGCCAAGUUUUUGUUUGUAAUGUUGAGUUUUCCAUGAUACUUUAACACUUUACUUUUUUUUUUCUUAUGUUUAGUGCUUUUGAAUAUUAUGCAUUAAACCUUCAAACCAUCCUGUUAUGUGGGCUUUCAGGUACUCCUCAGUUGAUCAACCUUUUUAUCAAGGAUUUGACGCAUCAAAAUGUGCCAACAUAUUUUUGAGAUCCUGAUUAGUACCUGUCGAAGUAUUUGGAGACUCAGUUAAACAAAUAUGAAGGGUGCUUGCGGAACUACUCAGAUUGCAAAAUUCCCCAUGUUGUCCAGUUUGUUUGUUUUUGAGCAGAGCUGAAAGUCAUUAUUUAUUGAAUAAACAUCUCAUGACAGAUUCCCAUUAUACAAGAUGCUGUACUCGUGUAACGAGUGCCAACCUCCGUUCCAUGCUGUUUAGAUGAAAGGUUUGUGUUGAGAUUUAUAUUUCAAAUUAAGAGAAAAAAAAUUAUAAAACUUAAGUUUUAUUAUUGAAGAAGUCUAAACCCCCUAACCCAACUAUUGAUUAAAACAUGUUUUUGGAUGCAAUCAUAACUUUGUCUCUCUUUAAAUGGCCUGUAAGCAACUUCAUGUGCUCACAAUGAUUUAUAUUUAUUAUUUGUACCUUGAC